ACUCAAAUGAAUAGACGGGGACCCGCACAAGCGGUGGAUGAUGUGGAUUAAUUCGAUGCAACGCGAAAAACCUUACCUACCCUUGACAUGCCAGGAAGGCUCCAGAGAUGGGGCUGUGCCCGAAAGGGAGCCUGGACACAGGUGCUGCAUGGCUGUCGUCAGCUCGUGUCGUGAGAUGUUGGGUUAAGUCCCGCAACGAGCGCAACCCUUGUCGUUAAUUGCCAUCAUUGAGUUGGGCACUUUAACGAGACUGCCGGUGACAAACCGGAGGAAGGUGGGGAUGACGUCAAGUCCUCAUGGCCCUUAUGGGUAGGGCUUCACACGUCAUACAAUGGUCGGUACAGAGGGUAGCCAAGCCGCGAGGUGGAGCCAAUCCCGAAAAGCCGAUCGUAGUCCGGAUCGUAGUCUGCAACUCGACUACGUGAAGUCGGAAUCGCUAGUAAUCGCGGAUCAGCAUGUCGCGGUGAAUACGUUCCCGGGUCUUGUACACACCGCCCGU
rnacentral:rRNA from 1 species